GGCGGGCAGAAGAAUUGCCCUAGAAGGGCGCGGGGAGGUCCGUUUGAAAGUGUUUUUUCAACUUUGAUUUGACUCAGGACGGGGCGAGGAGGGCUGAGUUCAGUGAUGAAAAACGGCGCUCAUCCUGCCUCUGAAAUGGUCCUGCCCGGGAGGACCCUUCAACUGUGACUCUGUCCCGCGUCCCGGCGCCCCUCUCCUCGGUCCCCACACGGGGUCACUGAGCCGAACAAUCUGGCAGGGCUGCCGCAGCCGCGCAGUUACUAAGUCGGCAAAGGUCCCAAACGGAACAUGUUGAGAAGGAGAAGAGUGGCCCUGCCUCUUUGCAUUCCAGAUGAAGUCAGAGGCUGUCGCAUCUCCUGGGGGCCUCUUUCUUCCUCCUAAUUUGAGAUGCACUUUCAUCACAAAAUAAACUCUUAUACUCAGUGGAUCUAUGUCCAGACCUAUUCUGCUACCUGUCUCUUCCCGUGAUGAUAUCCCAUAGUGUGGUUAUUAUAAUUUUGGAAUAUAUUUUAAUGCCUGAUAGCACAAGGCCCCGACAUCAUUAUACUUUAUAAAAAAUUUCUUGCCAAUUCCCAAUCAUGUAAAUUUUUUCAGUUAAAUUAUAAAAUGAUUUUGUCAAACUCCUCCCCCUGCCCCCAACCCCAUCAGAAUUUCAGCUGGUGUUGCGUGAAAUGUGUUUACAUGGAGAAGAGCUGAUAUCUUUAUCCCAAGUUUUUCCGUUUAAGAAUGAAGUAAAUGUCUCCAUUUAUUCAA